rnacentral:rRNA from 1 species
GUUGAACGCUGGCGGCAGGCCUAACACAUGCAAGUCGGGCGAGGGGCGGACGGGUGCGUCACGUAUGGGGCACUGCUUGCUGGAGGGGGCUAACUACUGGAAACGGUAGCUAAUACCGCAUACCAUCAGAUGAACCCAUAUGGGAUUAGCUUGUAGGUGAGGUAAAGGCUCACCUAGGCGACGAUCCCUAGCUGGUCUGAGAGGAUGAUCAGCCACACUGGGACUGAGACACGGCCCAGACUCCUACGGGAGGCAGCAGUGGGGAAUAUUGCACAAUGGGCGCAAGCCUGAUGCAGCCACGCCGCGUGUAUGAAGAAGGCCUUCGGGUUGUAAAGUACUUUCAUUCGGGAGGCGUUACCGACAGAAGAAGCACCGGCUAACUCCGUGCCAGCAGCCGCGGUAAUUC